UCCGGAAGCCAAGUGGCGGCGGCUGGAAGGAGGCCGCGCGGCCGCUGGGGUGCGCUGUGUGCCAAGCCGACUUCUGGGGAGCGCGCUAGGUGACUGGGUGUGUUCUCAGAGUGCCCCAGGGAGGGAAGGUCGCGAUGUGGGAAGUUUUGCCCGAAAGUAAGAGAUGAUGAGACCCUGGGCCCUUUUCCUGGGGCCUGGGAGUGCAAUGACCUUCCCGCCUAGCUUUUCCCUAGCCCUACGCUUGGGUCUGGGAGGAGCGGGACCGACCUCCUUCAGAGCCCAGCCCGCUCAGUGACUUAAAGCGGUCCAGCCACGGACCACUGCGGGUGGAGAGAGCUGGGGCGUGUGCUAGCAAGAGAGAUUUGCAGGUGUAGGUGGGUAACUUGCAACAAAGCCAUACCCGUGCUUAAUGUUAAUGAUAACAGCAAUAAUUAUAACUUAAGUGCCUUUAACCAUUGCCUCAAACUUCCCUUAUGCAUAACUGGAAAAAGAUUUACUUGGAAAAGAAAAAGCAAACAAAUAAUUUCCAAUGCUUUGUGCAUGAAGUUAGAAAACAAGGGCACCUCUGUACAAUUAGGUUAAUCCGAGAGCACUGGCGCAACCCAGGUGCAGUCGAGGGCAACCAGUUAUCCCAAUUUUAAAUUAAUGCAUCAUUUUAAUUAAAUUGGAAUUAACACUCCCUCAAAAGUAUCCAUUAAAAAUGGCUCAGCCUUUUUGUCCAAUCCCUAUCUUGCUUCUUUAAAAAAGGAAUUGGUGUCAUCCUUUGCUUUGUCUGCAUCCCCAUCUUCCUGUCAUGCAUUGGCAGUUUUAAUAUGGCAUUUUGCAAUGACCUAUAUUUUUUGGUAGAAUUAAAUCUGGAAUUAUGGGUUGCACAAUGUGUGAAUGACACCAUUAGCAGUGAUAUAAAAAAAAAUGAGUUAGCUGAUAUACUUCUGACAACUUCCUUCUAAAUACUCUUGGCAAGAAUUUAAGGCAUUAUUCACUACAUAGAAACACAUCAUUAAAUUGAUAAUCUGAGAACUUUUAAAAGUAUCUUCUAGUCCCCCAAUGCAAUGGUUUAUCUUUCCUUCAUUGAGUAAUUGACCUUUUGCGACUUCAGUUUUUCUGAAACUUUACUGCUGUAUGCAGGUAGCCACAACCAAAGAAAAGCAAUCAAAGCAGUAGAGUAUGAACUAAUGGGUGAUAAAUUAUAUUGGAUUUAGAAAUGAGAAUUCUCUCCUAAUGUGUUACUAUGAUAGUGAUUAUAGUGCUCAUGGAAUACAGUCAUGCGUCACCGAACAACAGGAUACAUUCUGAGAAAUGUAUCCUUAGGCAAUUUCAUCCUUCUCUGAACAUCACAGUGUACUAACACAAAAUAGAUGGCUCAGCCUACUACACACUUAGGCUAUUGCUCCUAGACCACAAAUCUAUACAGCAUAUUACUGUACUGAAUACUGUAGGCAAUUGUAAUGCAAUGAUAUUUGUGUGUCUAAACAUAUCUAAACAUAGAAAAGGUACAGUAAAAAUAUAGUAUUAUCUUAUGGGACUCAUAUAUGUGGUCUGUCGUUGACUGAAAAGUGGCACAUUACUGUGGAAAGUUUCUCCUCAGUACAGUUUUUUCUUGUGGAAAUCCAUGCAUUCCUCCUAACAGGAGAUCAAUCGUAAUUUAAAACUCUGCUUAUCUACUAAAGAUGCAGUGAAUUUGGGGCUUGAAUUAUUUGCUUUUGUUGGAUACUUGAUUAAAUAAACACGUAUAAUCAUUUCAAUGUUUGUAUUCCCUCCAAAAUUCAUGUUGAAACUUAAUCCCUAAUUCAACAGUAUUAAGAGGAGGUGCCUUUAAGUGGUGAUUAGACCAUUAGGGCUCUGCCUUUGUGAAUGCAUUAGUGCCUUUUUAAAAAAAGGCCCAAAGGAGACAGUUGGCCCCUUCUAUUCUUUCCACUAUGUGAAGACACAGCACUGACCCUUGCUGAGGAUGCAGCAACAAGGUGCCAUUUUGUAAGCAAAGAGCAGCCCUCACCAGUUGCCAAAUCUGCUGGCACUUUGAUUUUGGAGUUUCCAGCCUCCAGAACUGAGAGAAAUUAAUUUCUAUUGUUUAUAAAUAUCCCAGUCUGUGAUAUUUUAUUACAGCAACACAAAUGGACUAAGACAGUGGGUAAUAUCAAAAUGUUCAUUUUUCUCUCCUAACCUGAAAGGGUUAAAUUAUCAGAAACCAGGAAGGUUUCUGAAAAAUUGCUUCAAGAAAAACAAUCUAUAGGCUGGGCACAGUGGCUCAUUCCUGUAAUCUCAGAACUUUGGGAGGGAGAGGUAGAAGGAUACUUGAGCUCAGGAGUUUGAACCAGCCUGGGCCACAUGGCAUGACCCCAUCUCUACACAAAAUUUUUAAAAAUUAGCCAGGCAUGGGGGAACACACCUGUAAUCCUAGUUAUUCGAGAGGCUGAGGCAAGAGGAUUGAGCCCAGGAGGUCAAGGCUGCAGUGAGCCAUGAUCGUGCCAUUGCACUUCAGCCUCAGUGACAGUGUAAGACCCCCGGCUCUAUAACAAAAAAGAAAAAAAAAGAAAAACAGUACAUAGAUUCUCUCAAUAGUGAAUCUCAAGUCUGUGUGGUAUAUAUGAUAGUUUGGGAGUUACUGUGAAGGCCUAUUACCUGAGAAACAUAUCACAAGGGAUUGGGGAACAGAAGUGUCUCAAACAGUUCUAGUCUCUGGGAGAUUCAGCCAAAAUGUGUAACUAUACCUCCUGUAAAUUUAAAGUAGUUAAAGGUAAGCAUAUUUUGAACUGACAUUACCUGGGCCUCUUGUUUUUCAACUCCAUUUUAUUCUUUAUCCCAAUUUGCCCAAUUAUUUUGUUUUAACUUGGCAUGAAUUGUUCUAAGCACCUCAAAUCUUGUUAUGGAAUUAGUUGAAGAAUAAGUAAAUCAUAAACACUCCCAGGAUAUAACUUGAAAAAUGCUGUUAAUGCUAUUUAUAACAAACAAAUGAGCAAUGAUGUAUGUAUGUGUAUAUGUAUGAUAUAUAUAUGUGUGUAUAUGUAUAUAUAUAUUUAAUUUUUGUAAAUGACCCAGUCUGUGGUAUUUUGUUAUUGCAACACAAGUGGACUAAGAUAUAUAUAUAUAUAUAUAUAAAAUCAAUGAUAUAUAUGUGUAUAUACAUACAUAUAUGUCAUUGCUCAUUUGUUGCUCAUGAGCAACAGCUUAACUAAAGACCUUCAAUGUAUUCCCACUGUGCUAAAAUAAAAUUCAAACUCUGUAACGUGG
rnacentral:lncRNA from 1 species